AGAAAUGUGUAGAGAGCUUUGGCUUGCUACUAGUGAGAAAUAUGAUUUGUUACCUCUGUUUAUAAAUCCAAACUUUAUGACCGACGAGGCGACGACCAGUUAAAAAUUAGAUUAGCCUGACGAAGAAGAAGUCGAGAACAAUGGAAAAAGCAGAAAGAAAAAGAAAAAAAACAAAAUUUGUUUAAUGUUUGGUGAUAAUCGUGGAGUUAACGACGAUUCAGGUUACUACACGUCACGGAGCUUUUAGAGUGAACACGGUCAGAUCUUCUUCUUCUUCGCCUCGGGGUCAAUUUAUGUAGUGUGCUUGCUGAAUGAAUAAACGGCCCCAUAUGAAGGCCCACAUAAGCCUAUAGAUAGAUUGGGGUAAGUUAGUUCAAUCGCGGGGAUUUCUCUCGCGCGGAUAAUGCUGAUCAGUUUUCUUUUCGCUAUUCGCUCGCUCUCAUAGUCUGACUCUCCUCAGUCAAAAAAAACUGUUUGAUAAUCUCUCUCUCGAAUCGCCCCUCUUCACGGAUCCUAAGACGAAUUUUAAUUUCAACAAUUAAUGCCCUAUAGUAUAUACGAUCAUCAUCUGGCUGGCUUAAGCUUUAAUGUCGCUACUUCCAGUUCAAGUUCCAACGCUGCAGGGUUCGAAUCCUAACCAACGUUAUAGGACACAUAUACUCAUGUGGAGGAAGACAUGGACUUGAUGAUGAGUCUGCUUCACUCCCAUUGCUUUUUGACUUCACAUUCACAGGUGACUCGGUUUCAUCUUCAUCCCUUCUUCUUCCUUUGCUUGGUUUCUCCCCUGAAGUUGAGAAUUCUGAGAAUGAUUCUGAUGGAUUCCCAAGAUGAACCACAUGUUACAGCUCUGAGGUGCAUGUUGAAGCACAUACUCUGCUUUUCUUGAUGUGAUACCCAUUCCCCUGCAUCAUCAAAGACGAGAUAUCACGGUACUUGUAAAGGCUACGGUAUGAAGUCUUGAGUUCUGAAUCUUGGAUUGCAUCGAUCUCCCCUUGUGUAAGACCACUUGCUGAAAAAUACACAAACAAAAAGACCAUUUUUAAAACAGAGUAAAAUUCAUGAUGUGUGACUUAACUGCAAAACCUAACGUAGAGAGAACGUAACAAA